AAGGGAGGGCGGCAGCUAUAAUGCAGUCGAACGAACUUCCGUUAAUUGAUUAUGACGUGCUUGCACUGAAUGAGAUUUUAACACGAAGUGAGUGGCGGACGGGUGAGUAACACGUGGGUAACCUGCCCAGAAGUAGGGGAUAACACCUGGAAACAGAUGCUAAUACCGUAUAACAGAGAAAACCGCCUGGUUUUCUUUUAAAAGAUGGCUCUGCUAUCACUUCUGGAUGGACCCGCGGCGCAUUAGCUAGUUGGUGAGGUAACGGCUCACCAAGGCGAUGAUGCGUAGCCGACCUGAGAGGGUAAUCGGCCACAUUGGGACUGAGACACGGCCCAGACUCCUACGGGAGGCAGCAGUAGGGAAUCUUCCACAAUGGACGCAAGUCUGAUGGAGCAACGCCGCGUGAGUGAAGAAGGGUUUCGGCUCGUAAAGCUCUGUUGUUAAAGAAGAACGUGGGUGAGAGUAACUGUUCACCCAGUGACGGUAUUUAACCAGAAAGCCACGGCUAACUACGUGCCAGCAGCCGCGGUAAUACGUAGGUGGCAAGCGUUAUCCGGAUUUAUUGGGCGUAAAGCGAGCGCAGGCGGUCUUUUAAGUCUAAUGUGAAAGCCUUCGGCUCAACCGAAGAAGUGCAUUGGAAACUGGGAGACUUGAGUGCAGAAGAGGACAGUGGAACUCCAUGUGUAGCGGUGAAAUGCGUAGAUAUAUGGAAGAACACCAGUGGCGAAGGCGGCUGUCUGGUCUGUAACUGACGCUGAGGCUCGAAAGCAUGGGUAGCGAACAGGAUUAGAUACCCUGGUAGUCCAUGCCGUAAACGAUGAUUACUAAGUGUUGGAGGGUUUCCGCCCUUCAGUGCUGCAGCUAACGCAUUAAGUAAUCCGCCUGGGGGAGUACGACCGCAAGGUUGAAACUCAAAAGAAUUGACGGGGGCCCGCACAAGCGGUGGAGCAUGUGGUUUAAUUCGAAGCUACGCGAAGAACCUUACCAGGUCUUGACAUCUUCUGCCCACCUAAGAGAUUAGCGUUCCCUUCGGGACAGAUGACAGUGAUGCAUGAUUGUCGUCAGCUCGUGUCGUGAGAUGUGGUAGUCCCGCACGAGCGCAACCCUAUACUAGUGCCAGCAUUCAGUUGUACUCUAUGAACUGCCCGGUGACCACGGAGAAGUGGGACGACGUCAAUCACAUGCCUUUACGACUGGCUCACCACGUCUACAUUGAAUGGUACACCGAG
rnacentral:rRNA from 1 species